rnacentral:rRNA from 1 species
CUGAUCUGACUAUUCAUAGUGCAGGGUUCCUACAUGCAUAAAGCCGGGGGUGAAAACUCAACGGAUUGGAGGGGGGGCGACCAGUACCAGUAGAAUUGCCGGGGGCUCUCCCGAACUAUUUGCCAUCAGCCGCGGUAAUACGUAUGAAGCAAGCGUUAUCCGUAUUUAUGGGGCGUAAAUUGAUCGUAAGUGGUCUUCCAAAUUGGAUGUCAAAUUUCCCGGUUAAACCGGGAUGAGUCCUCCAAUAUUGUUGUACUAAAUUCCAGCAGGAGAGAACGGAUUUCCCAGGGUAGAGGUAAAUUGCAUACAUCUCGGAAGGAACACCAGAGGCGAAGGCUGUAUGCUAAGUUGUCACUAACACUGACGCUCGAAUCCGUAUGGACCCACCAGAAUUAAAUCCUCUGGUACCCAAGCCUUAAACUAUGGACACUAGGUAUCGCGAGUAUAGACCCUCUCUGUGCCGAAUCUCACGUUAUUAGUGUCCCCCCUGGGGAGUACGGUCCCAACGCUAAAACUCAAA